UACGUAGGGGGCAAGCGUUGUCCGGAUUUAUUGGGCGUAAAGAGCUCGUAGGCGGUUCGAUAAGUCGGACGUGAAAUCUCCACGCUCAACGUGGAGGGGCCGUUCGAUACUGUCGUGACUCGAGUCCGGUAGGGGAGUGUGGAAUUCCCGGUGUAGCGGUGAAAUGCGCAGAGAUCGGGAGGAACACCCGUAGCGAAGGCGGCACUCUGGGCCGGUACUGACGCUGAGGAGCGAAAGCGUGGGGAGCAAACAGG
rnacentral:rRNA from 1 species